AGCACAGUGGCGCAGGGGAAGCGCGCGGGGCUCAUAACCCCGAGGUCGUAGGAUCGAAACCUACCUGUGCUA
rnacentral:tRNA from 1 species